rnacentral:rRNA from 1 species
UGGUGGGGUGACUUGUCUGGUUAAUUCCGAUAACGAACGAGAUCUUGGCCUGCUAAAUAGACGAGCUUCCGCUGGCACUCGGUUUCGGCUGGGUGUCGGGAGGCUGAUGAUGCAAACGCAUACGUGGCUGGCUUCGCGCUGGUUACGUCGCUUCUUAGAGGGACUGUGGGUGAUUAACCCAAGGAAGCUCAAGGCAAUAACA